AUCGCUUCUCAGCAUUUUGGCCAAGAUCAGGUGUAGUAUCUGUUCUUAGCAGUUUAACAUCUGAUGCAUCCUCAGUGAGAGAACUAAUUUCUU